rnacentral:rRNA from 1 species
AUUGAACGCUGGCGGCAGGCCUAACACAUGCAAGUCGAGCGGAUGAAGGGAGCUUGCUCCUGGAUUCAGCGGCGGACGGGUGAGUAAUGCCUAGGAAUCUGCCUGGUAGUGGGGGAUAACGUCCGGAAACGGGCGCUAAUACCGCAUACGUCCUGAGGGAGAAAGUGGGGGAUCUUCGGACCUCACGCUAUCAGAUGAGCCUAGGUCGGAUUAGCUAGUUGGUGGGGUAAAGGCCUACCAAGGCGACGAUCCGUAACUGGUCUGAGACGAUGAUCAGUCAUACUGGAACUGAGACACGGUCCAGACUCCUACGGGAGGCAGCAGUGGGGAAUAUUGGACAAUGGGCGAAAGCCUGAUCCAGCCAUGCCGCGUGUGUGAAGAAGGUCUUCGGAUUGUAAAGCACUUUAAGUUGGGAGGAAGGGCAGUAAGUUAAUACCUUGCUGUUUUGACGUUACCAACAGAAUAAGCACCGGCUAACUUCGUG